UUGUGGAGGAGGACGCCGAAGGUGGGGCUAAUGACUGGGGUGAAGUCGUAACAAGGUAGCCGUACCGGAAGGUGCGGCUGGAUCACCUCCUAACAGGGAGACAACAAAAUGUAAAUAUUAAUUUUGUCACCUUAGGUCGAUCGGUAUCUCAGAUUCUUAUUUUAAGAAUUUCAGUUUCUAAGUUUUUUCUAGGUCACACCCAUCACUUUUUCCUGGGCCAUUAGCUCAGGUGGUUAGAGCGCACCCCUGAUAAGGGUGAGGUCCCUGGUUCAAGUCCAGGAUGGCCCAUAUCUCUAUGUUGGGGGUAUAGCUCAGUUGGUAGAGCGCCUGCUUUGCAAGCAGGAUGUCAGCGGUUCGAGUCCGCUUACCUCCACUGAAUACCACCUCUUAACAUAUUGGAAAAGAGGGAAAUUGUUUUUGAGUUGUGUCCUAAUUUGCUCUGAGCGAAUCUAGCUUCCUAUUUUAUUUAAUUAAUAAGAUGCUGGACUCAUUGAAUUUUUUCAUUGUUUUCAGAGAACCUUGACAACUGCAUAGAUUAUUUUUGAAGACAAUAAGCAUCUUUAAUGAUGCAGAUUUAUUAUUUGUGCGAAUGCAUUAAAUAACAAUUCUAUUAAGCUGAUGCUUCAUUAAUUGAAGUUAUUGGUCAAGCUACAA
rnacentral:misc_RNA from 1 species